rnacentral:lncRNA from 1 species
CGUGAAAGGUAGACAACAAUGGAGAACGGUGCAACAACUCGUAUUUGGAAUGGUAGAAAAUCCCACCACACAAACAAUACAUGGACACAAAUACAAACAACAUAUUAAUAAAACAAACUCCAAAACACUAAAAAAAAGUCACGAAUGAAGCCACCAAAACUUACAACUAACAGUUGAGAAUUGAACUCACGAAUGAAGGAAGAGGUUCAGGACGGAUUCAGACUGGUGAGAAUGGGUUCAGAGCACUCACGACGGCGAUGGAGAAAGUAAUCACAGUGUUGGACAAAGAAAUGGAGGAGCAACAACGUUGGUUCAUGAAAAUGUAGAAGAGAACGAAAAAGAAAAUUGUUCAAUGCUUUGUCAUUUCAUUUUUUUAACCCUGAGAACACAUAAUAUCUCAAUUUUUUCGAAAACUGAAGCAAUAAUGGGUUUAUGACCUUAGUUCUACUAAGAAUCACUACCUCAAGUCACCCAAAAACAUAAAAAGUAAUAUCUUCAAUGACAAUUUUAAAAUUUGCUUCUAACUUUAGGCCUCAGUUCGCAAUACAACCGAAGCAUAAAAGGUUUAUGGCAUCAACUUCAAGAAAACUAUUG